rnacentral:rRNA from 1 species
UACAGAGGGUGCAAGCGUUGUUCGGAAUCAUUGGGCGUAAAGGGCGUGUAGGCGGUCUGUUAAGUCAUGUGUGAAAUCCCUCGGCUCAACCGGGGAACGACGCAUGAAACUGACAAGCUAGAGUACCAAAGAGGGGGUGGAAUUCCCGGUGUAGCGGUGAAAUGCGCAGAUAUCGGGAGGAACACCAGUAGCGAAGGCGGCUCGCUGGGCCAUUCCUGACGCUGAGACGCGAAAGCUAGGGGAGCGAACAGG